rnacentral:rRNA from 1 species
CUCGUAGGUGGCCAACUAAGUCAGACGUGAAAUCCCUCGGCUUAACCGGGGAACUGCAUCUGAUACUGGAUGGCUUGAGAUUGGGAGAGGGAUGCGGAAUUCCAGGUGUAGCGGUGAAAUGCGUAGAUAUCUGGAGGAACACCGGUGGCGAAGGCGGCAUCCUGGACCAACACUGACACUGAGGAGACGAAAGCCAAGGGGAGCAAACG